GACUCACAGCAGUGGAUCACUCGGCUCGUGCAUCAAUGAAAAAGGUUGCCAACUGCGAGAACUUGUGUGAAUUGCAGGAUACACUGAUCAUAGAUACUGUUGCGGUUCUGCAACGCUGGCACUCCCACAAGACAAUGGCACCCAACAUAUAGCGGUU
rnacentral:rRNA from 1 species